GUGUUUGCUGCUAUCAUGCCACAACCCUACAAUCGCAGCAAUACAGUUCGUAACCGAAUACCGUGACUAACAACGUUUAGUCGUUCACAACAUCCAACAAGGAAUCAAGGAUAUUGUCCAAAUGUUUUUGCUCUACAAGACCACAAUGUGAAACUACUUUCGCCACCCGCGCUAUCUCCUUAAGCAGGCCUGAUACAGGACAUGCAGCAGGCGGUAAACUGCUAGGCAUUGCAUUCUUCAUUUAAUUCAAGCUUAUAUAUGCAGCAUGUUGAAAAGUCCUGGCGCAGAUUUGCAGCAGCGUAUGAAGCAACCAUAAACAGCAUCGACGGCGUCUAUCCGGAGGCCAACGGACCUUCCCGGCGUUUCACACAGGUCACUCACUAAAAUCCUAGCGUUUUGUAUAAAUCCCCCAUUUUUUAGGUUCACAAACACAAACCUGUGGGGGAACGAAAUAGUAGUAACCCCUCCCCUUCAGUUCUGCACGGCAUGGUGUGUCAAGCAGCCAAAUGAAACAACGCAGCUGUGUGGGGUAGGGUUGUCGCCCACUGAACCCUAGUGGUAGCGGGCGGUUAAGUAUGCGGUUAAGUUAAGUUGGGUCAAAGCAGGAUCAGAGAAAUGAGCUGGAGUGCGUCUUACCGCUGCUGCCUUCCUAUCUCCCCGUGGUGCACGAAUAGAUGGUUCAUUUUUCAAUAUCGCUCAAGCGGUGAGCUGUGCUCCGAGCAAUGUAGGGGAAUAUCAUGAAAGGAUGCCGCACGCACUCGUACCCAUGUUUGCG
rnacentral:lncRNA from 1 species